rnacentral:rRNA from 1 species
GAUGAACGCUGGCGGCGUGCCUAAUACAUGCAAGUCGAGCGAACGGACGAGAAGCUUGCUUCUCUGAUGUUAGCGGCGGACGGGUGAGUAACACGUGGAUAACCUACCUAUAAGACUGGGAUAACUUCGGGAAACCGUAGCUAAUACCGGAUAAUAUUUUGAACCGCAUGGUUCAAAAGUGAAAGACGGUCUUGCUGUCACUUAUAGAUGGAUCCGCGCUGCAUUAGCUAGUUGGUAAGGUAACGGCUUACCAAGGCAACGAUGCAUAGCCGACCUGAGAGGGUGAUCGUCCACACUGGAACUGAGACACGGUCCAGACUCCUACGUGAGGCAGCAGUAGGGAAUCUUCCGCAAUGGGCGAAAGCCUGACGGAGCAACGCCGCGUGAGUGAUGAAGGUCUUCGGAUCGUAAAACUCUGUUAUUAGGGAAGAACAUAUGUGUAAGUAACUGUGCACAUCUUGACGGUACCUAAUCAGAAAGCCACGGCUAACUACGUG